ACCGCCAUACCACGUUGAAACACCGGUUUCCUUACGAUCAUCGAAGUUAAGCAACAGCGAGUCUACUCAGUACCUAAACGGGUGAUCGCUUGGAAAUAACAGGUAAUGU